ACUCCUACGGGAGGCAGCAGUGGGGAAUAUUGGACAAUGGGCGCAAGCCUGAUGCAGCAACGCCGCGUGAGCGAUGAAGGUCUUCGGAUCGUAAAGUUCUGUCCUCAAGGAAGAUAAUGACGGUACUUGAGGAGGAAGCCCCGGCUAACUACGUGCCAGCAGCCGCGGUAAU
rnacentral:rRNA from 1 species